rnacentral:rRNA from 1 species
UACAGGGGGGGCAAGCGUUGUUCGGAAUUACUGGGCGUAAAGGGCUUGUAGGUGGCCAACUAAGUCAGGGGUGAAAUCCUGGAGCUCAACUCCAGAACUGCCUUUGAUACUGAAGAUCUUGAGUUCGGGAGAGGUGAGUGGAACUGCGAGUGUAGAGGUGAAAUUCGUAGAUAUUCGCAAGAACACCAGUGGCGAAGGCGGCUCACUGGCCCGAUACUGACGCUGAGGCACGAAAGCGUGGGGAGCAAACAGG